GGCAUCUAAUGUGUAAAACUAGCCUUAUGUACAUAGGCAUACACAGCCUAUUGCAUUAGGGGGUGCACUCUAAAGCACAAGCACACUCCGCGUAUAUAUAUGUAUGUAUAUAUGUAUGUAUAUAUAUGGAUACACAUAUAUACACACACACAUACACUGCUGUGUGAGGGUGCUGUUAGUGUGAUGUGUGUGCUAUGUGGGUGAGGGUGUUUUGUGUGAGCGCUUGUGAGGGUGCUGUUAAUGUACUGUGUGUGAGGGUACUGGUAGUGUGCUGUGUGUUUGUUAGGGUCCAGUUUGUGAGGGUACUGUUAGUGUGCUGGGUGUGUGUGAAGGUGCUGUUUGUGUGUGUUUGUGAGGGUGCUGUAUGUGUGUAGGUGCUGUGUAUGUCUGUGGGUGCUGUAUGUGUGUAGGUGCUGUGUAUGUCUGUGGGUGCUGUAUAUGUCUGUGGGUGCUGUAUGUGUGUAGGUGCUU